rnacentral:tRNA from 1 species
GACUCCUAGGCGUAAUGGUAGCGCGUCUGACUCCAGAUCAGAAGGUUGCGUGUUCGAAUCACGUCGGGGUCA